rnacentral:rRNA from 1 species
GACGAACGCUGGCGGUGUGCUUCACACAUGCAAGUCGAACGAGGUAGCAAUACCUAGUGGCGGACGGGUGAGUAACGCGUGGGAAUCUGCCUUUAGAUGGGGGAUAACGGGUCGAAAGACUCGCUAAUACCGCAUAUGACGAAAGUUGAAAGGAGUAAUCCGUCUAAAGAUGAGCCCGCGUCCGAUUAGCUAGUUGGUAGAGUAAAAGCCUACCAAGGCGACGAUCGGUAGCUGGUCUGAGAGGAUGAUCAGCCACAAUGGGACUAGAAGACACGGCCCAUACUCCUAACGGGAGGCAGCAGUGGGAAUUUUACGCAAUGGGCGAAAGCCUGACGUAGCGACACCGCGUGAGCGAAGAAGCCC